GGAGGGUUCGCAUAGUGGUCUAGUGCACCAUCUUGGAAAGAUGGCAUACCUUUACCGGUAUCGAGAGUUCGAAUCUCUCACCCUCCGCCA
rnacentral:tRNA from 2 species